GCCUAAUUGGUAGCAUGAAUGUGACUCCCUUGAGAAUAGAGAUAGAAAGAAACCAGACAGACACAGAGACAGAUAUUUUGCUGAAAAGCUGAAAAAAUUUCCUGAGUUGCACAGAGCCUUUUUAUGCUGAUUUCCCUCUGCUUCUGAUGGACGCUAUUUGCUGUAUACUCUGCUCCUGUUGCUUCUCUUGCUUCCUUAGCUUCCCAGACUGACAGCAACAUUUGUUUCUGAUAGUUUGAAUCAGUGUCAAAGAGUCUGAGACCAGCAGCAGGUAGAUUAGAGGGGUUAUCAUCUUCCUGUGGGCAGAGUUUUGGCACUGCAAUUUACCAGGAUUUUUGCAGGUAGAGCCUACCACGAUGCUUUGAUCAGACAUAGCUGUGUCCGUGUAAAAAAAGUACUGAUGCAAUAUGCAGGCUGCAUCCCUUGUUAAGACUUCCCAAAUGGCAGGCUUUUUCCAGUGGACAGUAACUAAGGAAACAUGAGAACCAACACCUGCUGUACUGCUGAGUCUGAACCCAGAACAAACGCGCACACUGGGAGUGAAUGAAAAGUGGAAUUAUGUGGAGAAGCAAUGCUUGCUGAGGCAUCAAUUGAAUUAUAGAAGCAAGCAACCUAUAUUGAUCCUUUCUUCUGUAUUUUAAGAAAAGCUUUUGUCAGGGGCAUCAAAUUAAAAUCUCUAUAAUGAUUGACAGUGUAUUGUUAUUUCAUGUCUUAUAAGAAAGUGGAUUCUGUAAUAAAUAACACAC
ensembl:lncRNA